GCACUGGUGGUGUAUGGUACACACAAUCACUUCGUAGAAUUGCCACCCCUUGGUUGUGAUUGAGUCUGGGGUUCAAUUCCCUGCUGGUGCA